CAGCCGCCGCGGUAAUACCGGCGGCCCGAGUGGCGGUCACUAUUAUUGGGCUUAAAGCGUCCGUAGCCGGGUUGGGAAGUCCUCCGGGAAAUCUGGCCGCUUAACGGUCAGAAUGCCGGAGGAUACUCCCAGCCUAGGGAGCGGGAGAGGCCGAGGGGAUUCCCGGAGUAGGGGUGAAAUCCUAUAAUCCCGGGAGGACCAACUGUGGCGAAGGCGCUCGGCUGGAACGCGUCCGACGGUGAGGGACGAAGGCCAGGGGAGCAAACCGGAUUAGAUACCCGGGUAGUCCUGGCUGUAAACGAUGCGGACUUUGUGUCGGACAAGCUAUGAGCUUGUCCGGUGCCGGAGGGAAACCGUUAAGUCCGCCGCCUGGGGAGUACGGCCGCAAGGCUGAAACUUAAAGGAAUUGGCGGG
rnacentral:rRNA from 1 species